rnacentral:rRNA from 1 species
CCUACGGGAGGCAGCAGUGGGGAAUAUUGCGCAAUGGGGGAAACCCUGAUGCAGCAACGCCGCGUGAGUGAAGAAGGAUUUCGGGAUGUAAAGCUCUAUCAGCAGGGAAGAGGAUGACGGUACAUGAGUAGGAAGCACCGUCUAACUACGGGCCAGCACCCGCGGCAAUAUGCAGGGGGCAAGAGUUAUCCGGAUUUACUGGGUGUGAAGGGAGCGCAGACGGGGAGACAAGUCUGAAGUGAAAACACGGGGCUCAACCCCGGGACUGCGUUGGAAACUGCAUGACUGGAGUGCUGGAGAGGCAAGCGGAAUUCCUAGUGUAGCGGUGAAAUGCGUAGAUAUUAGGAAGAACACCAGUGGCGAAGGCGGCUUACUGGACGGCAACUGACGUUGAGGCACGAAAGCGUGGGGAGCAAACAGGAUUAGAUACCCUGGUAGUC